ACAACUAGGCCUAAAUUUCAAAUCAAAAUCAAAUCAAAUUUUAUUUGUCACAUGCUUCUUAAACAACAGGUAUAGACUAACAGUGAAAUGCUUACUUACGGGUCAUUUUCCAACAAUGCAGAGGAUAGACUACAGAUCUGAUUCUCGGGUUCAGAUAUGUGUAUAAGUUGGCUUCAGUGCAAAGGAAGUUCCUGCAGGAAAAUUUAUUAUAAUGUAAAUUGUGGAUGUUUGGCUGUCUUUCAGGAAACAAAAGAUAAAACAUCAUGUCUGAGGCACCGGUGGUAUGUUUUCAAAACGAUUGUACAGUAUGAAGAGAAUAAGAGAAAAAGAUAAGUAAUAAUUGAAACAGACAGUAACCAGAAAAAUAGUAAAACAUGACAUAUGGGGACAAUUUUAUGAAUUCUAAUUUAACCUCUAUGUUCUAUGUUCAUGUAGAAAAAGCUGAAGA